GGAUUCCCUUAGUAACUGCGAGUGAAGAGGGAAAAGCUCAAAUUUAAAAUCUGGCAGUGCUUCACUGUCCGAGUUGUAACCUAGAGAAGUGUAACCUGUGCUGGACCGUGUAUAAGUCUCCUGGAAUGGAGCGUCACAGAGGGUGAGAAUCCCGUCUUUGACAUGGACUACCAGUGCAUUGUGGUUGCGCUCUCAACGAGUCGAGUUGUUUGGGAAUGCAGCUCUAAAUGGGUGGUAAAUUCCAUCUAAAGCUAAAUAUUGGCGAGAGACCGAUAGCGAACAAGUACCGUGAGGGAAAGAUGAAAAGAACUUUGGAAAGAGAGUUAAACAGUAUGUGAAAUUGUUGAAAGGGAAACGUUUGAAGUCAGUCGCGUUGGUUGGGGAUCAGCCUGACAUUUGUUGGGUGUACUUCCCGGUUGACGGGCCAACWUCAGUUUUGACKGCCARAGAAAGGCCAAAGGAAUGKGGCACCUUUGGGUGUGUUAUAGCCUUUGGUUGUAUAUGGUGGUUGGGACUGAGGAAAGCAGCGUGCCGAAAGGCCGGGUUUUUAACCACGUUCACGCUGAGGAUGUUGGCAUAAUGGCUUUAAGCGACCCGUCUUGAAACACGGACCAAGGAGUCUAACAUGCAUGCGAGUGUUUGGGUGGAAAACCCUUACGCGUAAUGAAAGUGAAAGUUGAGAUCCCUGUCGUGGGGAGCAUCGACGCCCGGACCAGAACUUUUGGGACGGAUCUGCGGUAGAGCACGUAUGUUGGGACCCGAAAGAUGGUGAACUAUGCCUGAAUAGGGUGAAGCCAGAGGAAACUCUGGUGGAGGCUCGUAGCGAUUCUGACGUGCAAAUCGAUCGUCAAAUUUGGGUAUAGGGGCGAAAGAC
rnacentral:rRNA from 1 species